rnacentral:rRNA from 1 species
UGGGUUUAGGCCCACGGCGAACGGGUGAGUAAUACCUAGGAAUGUCCUUUAAGUUGAGCAUAACCAGCCGAAAGGUUGGAUAAUUCUCGAUGUGAUCGCAAGAUUAAAGUCGCAAGACGCUUAAAGCGCAGCCUGGGCACCAUCAGCUAGUUGGUAAGGUAAUGGCUUACCAAGGCUAUGACGGUUAGGGGCCCCGAGAGGGGAGACCUCCACACUGGAACUGCGACACGGUCCAG